UUCUGUUCUCAGGUGACAUCCUUGGGCCAAUCAGUUGUUGCCAAGUUGCACAAUGACAUGCUCCAAGAUAUGGUGAUCUAUUCUAAAGGGGCUACUUGUAACUGAUUUUCUUUAGAAGAUAGUUAUCACUUUUAAUUUAAAAAGAGUAACAUCUCAUUAUCAUCAUAGCUCAUUCUGCAAGAAUGUAGAGAAUGGAUUAGAUGAGGUAUAACUCAAAGGACAUACAUUCUAUCACCAGACUGUAAGAGAAAUGAUGAAGACUAGAAGUAAUUCAAUGGCAAUGAGGAUGGAGAAAGGAGAAUGGAUUGAUUUGAGAGCUCUAAAGGAACUGAAGCUGUGAGACAGGGAGAAAAUCUGAAAAUCAGGAGGAUGAAGAGAAUGGCUAUAGAGCACCAGAACAGUCUGGGACUAGUUCCUCAGGAGGCACUACAGCUCUCAGUGGCUUCACCUGCUCAUCUGGACCUUUUCAAUGCCAGGUGAACUGAUGCAACACGCACAAGGGACACUCAGCAAGAGACCAGAACAUGAAAGUUUUAAGAUUGAUCUAAGUAGUAUGUUGAAACUAUGGAAUGUCACCACAUCUGUGCCAAGCUGAUUAAUAGUCAGACUACCUCCAAGAGGCAAUUGACUAAUGUUGAACAUCAUUCACAACACGUGCUUCUAAGUCACCACGUUAGCAUGUGCUCCUCAGUACACAUUUUUCCUGAUAUGAGGGAGACAUGGUAGGGUCAGUGAGGUCUCUCCUGAGUACCUGGAAUCUGUGGGGCUGAGUUACCAACCACUCCACAUUUGUACUUAUGGGCUUAGGAUACCAACUACUUUUUGGCAGGGCAAAGGAGCCAACUCAUUCCCAUGGCAGAGAAUUCAGAUUCUGCUGCAUUCCUCUCAUUCUGCUCACUUGUAUUGGGUAUCCAUUAUAUAGUAGUCACUGAACUUGGUAACAGGGCUACAGAGGUGAGAGAGAAAAGUCGUCACUCUCAAUGAGCAGGUAUAUUGUGACCACAAUUUUAGAAGUAUCCAAGUUGAAAGUAGCUUUGGAAAAUAUCAUUUUCUCAUUUAUUAUUUUAUAUAAAGUACUGUCGUGCACAUUUGCUUAUUUAAUAACUAUUAUCCCAUAAAGGAGACACU